UGAAUACGAGACGCUAAGGCGUCGAAGUAGUGUAUGUCAUACUUCCAAGAAAAGCUUGCACUGUCAUAGAUAAAAAACGCCUGUACCAUAACCGACACAGGUGGGUAGGUAGAGUAUACUAAGGGGCGCGAGAUAACUCUCUCUAAGGAACUCGGCAAAAUAACUCCGUAACUUCGGGAGAAGGAGUGCCUUAUUCGUAAGGUUGCAAUAACAAGAUCCAAGCAACUGUUUAUCAAAAACACAGGUCUCCGCUAAGUCGUAAGACGAUGUAUGGGGGCUGACGCCUGCCCAGUGCCAGAAGGUUAAAGAAGUUGGUUAGCAAUUGCGAAGCUGAUAACUGAAGCCCUGGUGAACGGCGGCCGUAACAAUAACGGUCCUAAGGUAGCGAAAUUCCUUGUCGGGUAAGUUCCGACCCGCACGAAAGGCGUAAUGAUUUGGAUACUGUCUCGGAGAGGGGCUCGGUGAAAUAGACUUGUCUGUGAAGAUGCGGACUACCUGCACCAGGACAGAAAGACCCUAUGAAGCUUUACUGUAACUUGAAAUUGAAAUUGGACUUUAUUCGCGCAGUAUAGGUGGGAGGCGUUGAUUAUAAUCUUGUGGGAUUAUUGGAGCCAUCAGUGAGAUACCACUCUUGUAAUGUUAGAUUUCUAACUUUGAAUCAUUAUCUGGUCAAAGAACAGUUUCAGGCGGGCAGUUUGACUGGGGCGGUCGCCUCCUAAACGGUAACGGAGGCGUACGAAGGUUUCCUCUGAACGGUUAGAAAUCGUAUCUAGAGUGUAAAGGCAUAAGGAAGCUUGACUGUGAGACCUACAAGUCGAGCAGGGACGAAAGUCGGUCUUAGUGAUCUGACGGUACUGAGUGGAAAGGCCGUCACUCAACGGAUAAAAGUUACUCUAAGGAUAACAGGCUGAUCUCCCCCAAGAGUUCACAUCGACGGGGAGGUUUGGCACCUCGAUGUCGGCUCAUCGCAUCCUGGGGCGGUAGUACGUCCCAAGGGUUGGGCUGUUCGCCCAUGAAAGCGGUACGCGAGCUGGGUUCAGAACGUCGUGAGACAGUUCGGUCCAUAUCCGGUGUAGGCGUUAGAAUAUUGAGAGGAGCCUUCUUUAGUACGAGAGGACCGAGAAGGACAUACCUCUGGUGUACCAGUUAUCGUGCCAACGGUAAACGCUGGGUAGCUAUGUAUGGAGUGGAUAACCGCUGAAAGCAUCUAAGUGGGAAGCCCACCUCAAGAUAAGUAUUCUCAUC
rnacentral:rRNA from 1 species